rnacentral:lncRNA from 1 species
CAGUUUGGUAAAUCACUGUUUUCUUGCAUUUUAGGCUGAUGUGGUCGUUUUCCUGUCAGUGGAAUCUGAAAUGCAUAUAGAUUGUCAUCCAGUUGUGCUUAGUAUUAUCAUAAAUGUAUCUUUUCCACUCAACUAGCUGUGUUCAUAUUAAACCAAGUCUCUUAUUUCAGUCACCUACUGUCAUCGGGACUAAUUGAAAAACUACAGUCAGAGAAGUUCCUAUCUCGUUGCCUUUGUAGAAAGGCAGCCCUAUGUGAUCAACGGGGAGGCAUUCCACGUAACCUAGGCACUCAGCAACUCCAGUGUUUAAUUUGAAAGCAGUGAUGAAUUGCUCUUUUGAAUAUACUCUUAAGUCACGCGUGUGUCAGAAUACAGAUGAACCCCCUUUAAUUUUCGCAGGCAGUCACAACUGUGCUGUGUCUGCACCAACUCCUCAGAUAAUGCGGCUCAGGGUUAUUUGCAUUUAAAUUGUAGUCCUGCAUGCGCGUGUGAAGGCUCAGAGAUGCCAGGAGGGCUGCCUCCCCAGGAGGGGUGUGAUCUGCAGAGGAGGGUGGGGAAAGAGCAACUUAGUAUCUGUGCUGUUUAGCUUAAAGUUCACUUUAGAAAGGUGAUGCGGGAUAUUUUGUUAGUGAUGGCAGAUGCUUUUCAUGUUUAAACUUAGGAUUAAAAUUGGAUCUGCCUCUUUAAUACGUCAACAUAUUGAAUUUUCCUAGGGAAGUGACUGGCUAUAACAAAACUUUAAGGGAAGGGAGGAAAAACCUCUGUGCAGAGGAAAUAACUUGAUUUUUAAAUACAUAUAAUAUUUUGUUCAGUGUAUGUAGGCUUAAAAUUAUGAUGAUGGAUAGUCAAACUUAAUAUAUAAUCAGUUCUUACAAUGGUUUUAUACUGAACCAUUUAGUUGCCAUUACACAGAAAUUUGAAUUUUACAACUGCUCAACUAUUCUUGGACUCUG